rnacentral:rRNA from 1 species
GAUGAACGCUGGCGGCGUGCCUAAUACAUGCAGGUCGAGCGAACAGACGAGGAGCUUGCUCCUCUGACGUUAGCGGCGGACGGGUGAGUAACACGUGGAUAACCUACCUAUAAGACUGGGAUAACUUCGGGAAACCGGAGCUAAUACCGGAUAAUAUAUUGAACCGCAUGGUUCAAUAGUGAAAGACGGUUUUGCUGUCACUUAUAGAUGGAUCCGCGCUGCAUUAGCUAGUUGGUAAGGUAACGGCUUACCAAGGCAACGAUGCAUAGCCGACCUGAGAGGGUGAUCGGCCACACUGGAACUGAGACACGGUCCAGACUCCUACGGGAGGCAGCAGUAGGGAAUCUUCCGCAAUGGGCGAAAGCCUGACGGAGCAACGCCGCGUGAGUGAUGAAGGUCUUCGGAUCGUAAAACUCUGUUAUUAGGGAAGAACAAAUGUGUAAGUAACUAUGCACGUCUUGACGGUACCUAAUCAGAAAGCCACGGCUAACUACGUG